rnacentral:rRNA from 1 species
AGCGCACACGGUGGAUGCCUUGGCGGUCAGAGGCGAUGAAGGACGUGGCAGCCUGCGAAAAGUAUCGGGGAGCUGGCAACAAGCUUUGAUCCGGUAAUGUCCGAAUGGGGAAACCCACCCGCUUGCGGGUAUCCUGCAGUGAAUACAUAGCUGCUGGAAGCGAACCUGGUGAACUGAAAUAUCUAAGUAACCAGAGGAAAAGAAAUCAACCGAGAUUCCGUAAGUAGCGACGAGCGAACGCGGACUAGCCCUUAAGCUGAUUUGGUUCUAGGAAAACGCUCUGGAAAGAGCGGCCAUAGAAGGUGAUAGCCCUGUAUCUGAAAGGGCCAUUUCAGUGAAGACGAGUAGGGCGGGGCACGUGAAACCCUGUCUGAACAUGGGGGGACCAUCCUCCAAGGCUAAAUACUACUGACCGACCGAUAGUGAACCAGUACCGUGAGGGAAAGGCGAAAAGAACCCCGGAGAGGGGAGUGAAAUAGAACCUGAAACCGUGUGCGUACAAGCAGUAGGAGCUCCGCAAGGAGUGACUGCGUACCUUUUGUAUAAUGGGUCAGCGACUUACUGUUCGUGGCAAGCUUAACCGUAUAGGGGAGGCGAAGGGAAACCGAGUCUGAUAAGGGCGCAUAGUCGCGGGCAGUAGACCCGAAACCGGGUGAUCUAGUCAUGCCCAGGGUGAAGGUGCGGUAACACGCACUGGAGGCCCGAACCCACUCCCGUUGCAAAGGUAGGGGAUGAGGUGUGAUUAGGAGUGAAAAGCUAAUCGAACCCGGAGAUAGCUGGUUCUCCUCGAAAGCUAUUUAGGUAGCGCCUCAUAUGUAUCCUCUCGGGGGUAGAGCACUGUUAUGGCUAGGGGGUCAUCGCGACUUACCAAACCAUUGCAAACUCCGAAUACCGAGACGGACUGUAUGGGAGACACACGGCGGGUGCUAACGUCCGUCGUGAAAAGGGAAACAACCCAGACCCACAGCUAAGGUCCCAAAUUCACUGCUAAGUGGAAAACCAUGUGGAAAGGCACAGACAGCCAGGAGGUUGGCUUAGAAGCAGCCACCCUUUAAAGAAAGCGUAAUAGCUCACUGGUCGAGUCGGUCUGCGGGGAAGAUUUAACGGGGCUAAGCAGUGAACCGAAGCUUGGGGUGCAUAACUUUAGUUAUGCGCGGUAGAGGAGCGUUCCGUAAGCCGUUGAAGGUGGAUUGAGAAGUCUGCUGGAGGUAUCGGAAGUGCGAAUGCUGACAUGAGUAACGAUAAUGCGGGUGAAAAACCCGCACGCCGAAAGCCCAAGGUUUCCUUGCGCAACGUUAAUCGGCGCAGGGUGAGUCGGCCCCUAAGGCGAGGACGAAAGUCGUAGUCGAUGGGAAGCAGGUUAAUAUUCCUGCACCUCGCGUAAGUGCGAUGGAGGGACGGAGAAGGUUAGGUGUACCAGGCGUUGGUUGUCCUGGGGAAAGGCGGUAGGUUUGGAUCUUUGGCAAAUCCGGGAUCCUUCAAGACCGAGCACCGAGACGAGCCUUUAUGGCAAAGUCACUGAUACCACGCUUCCAGGAAAAGCUCCUAAGCUUCAGCUUACGCAGACCGUACCGUAAACCGACACAGGUGGGUAGGAUGAGAAUUCUCAGGCGCUUGAGAGAACUCGGGUGAAGGAACUAGGCAACAUGGCACCGUAACUUCGGGAGAAGGUGCACCCUUUUUGGUGGCUCGUGCGAGCUAUAGCUGAAGAGGGUCGCAGUAACCAGGCCGCUGCGACUGUUUAUCAAAAACACAGCACUCUGCAAACACGAAAGUGGACGUAUAGGGUGUGACGCCUGCCCGGUGCUGGAAGGUUAAUUGAUGGGGUCAGCCGCAAGGCGAAGCUCUUGAUCGAAGCCCCAGUAAACGGCGGCCGUAACUAUAACGGUCCUAAGGUAGCGAAAUUCCUUGUCGGGUAAGUUCCGACCUGCACGAAUGGCGUAACGACAGCGGCGCUGUCUCCACCCGAGACUCAGUGAAAUUGAAAUCGCUGUGAAGAUGCAGCGUUCCCGUGGCAAGACGGAAAGACCCCGUGAACCUUUACUAUAGCUUUACACUGAACGUUGAGUUCGUCUGUGUAGGAUAGGUGGGAGGCUAUGAAACUGUGGCGCUAGCUGCAGUGGAGCCAUCCUUGAAAUACCACCCUGUCGUGCUUGACGUUCUAACCUGGGCCCAUUAUCUGGGUCGGGGACCGUGUAUGGUGGGUAGUUUGACUGGGGCGGUCUCCUCCUAAAGAGUAACGGAGGAGCUCGAAGGUACGCUCAGCGCGGUCGGACAUCGCGCACUGUGUGCAAAGGCAUAAGCGUGCUUGACUGCAAGAUCGACGGAUCAAGCAGGUAGGAAACUAGGACUUAGUGAUCCGGUGGUUCUGUAUGGAAGGGCCAUCGCUCAACGGAUAAAAGGUACUCCGGGGAUAACAGGCUGAUACCGCCCAAGAGUUCAUAUCGACGGCGGUGUUUGGCACCUCGAUGUCGGCUCAUCACAUCCUGGGGCUGUAGUCGGUCCCAAGGGUAUGGCUGUUCGCCAUUUAAAGUGGUACGCGAGCUGGGUUCAGAACGUCGUGAGACAGUUCGGUCCCUAUCUGCCAUGGGCGUUGGAGAUUUGAGAGGGGCUGCUCCUAGUACGAGAGGACCGGAGUGGACGAACCUCUGGUGUUCCGGUUGUCACGCCAGUGGCAUUGCCGGGUAGCUAUGUUCGGAAGCGAUAACCGCUGAAAGCAUCUAAGCGGGAAGCGCGCCUCAAGAUGAGAUCUCCCGGGGCACAAGCCCCCUGAAGGAACCAUGUAGACUACGUGGUUGAUAGGUCAGGUGUGUAAGUACAGCAAUGUAUUGAGCUAACUGAUACUAAUGAUCCGAGAGGCUUGACC